AGCGAACGCUGGCGGCAGGCUUAACACAUGCAAGUCGAGCGGGCGUAGCAAUACGUCAGCGGCAGACGGGUGAGUAACGCGUGGGAACGUACCUUUUGGUUCGGAACAACCCAGGGAAACUUGGGCUAAUACCGGAUAAGCCCUUACGGGAAGAUUUAUCGCCGAAAGAUCGGCCCGCGUCUGAUUAGCUAGUUGGUGAGGUAACGGCUCACCAAGGCGACGAUCAGUAGCUGGUCUGAGAGGAUGAUCAGCCACAUUGGGACUGAGACACGGCCCAAACUCCUACGGGAGGCAGCAGUGGGGAAUAUUGGACAAUGGGCGCAAGCCUGAUCCAGCCAUGCCGCGUGAGUGAUGAAGGCCCUAGGGUUGUAAAGCUCUUUUGUGCGGGAAGAUAAU
rnacentral:rRNA from 1 species